rnacentral:rRNA from 1 species
GCACCCUGAUCCAGCCAUGCCGCGUGAGUGAUGAAGGCCCUAGGGUCGUAAAGCUCUUUCGCCUGUGAAGAUAAUGACUGUAGCAGGUAAAGAAACCCCGGCUAACUCCGUGCCAGCAGCCGCGGUAAUACGGAGGGGGUUAGCGUUGUUCGGAAUUACUGGGCGUAAAGCGCGCGUAGGCGGACUGGAAAGUUGGGGGUGAAAUCCCAGGGCUCAACCCUGGAACUGCCUCCAAAACUAUCAGUCUAGAGUUCGAGAGAGGUGAGUGGAAUUCCGAGUGUAGAGGUGAAAUUCGUAGAUAUUCGGAGGAACACCAGUGGCGAAGGCGGCUCACUGGCUCGAUACUGACGCUGAGGUGCGAAAGUGUGGGGAGCAAACAGGAUUAGAUACCCUGGUAGUCCACACCGUAAACGAUGAAUGCCAGUCGUCGGGUAGCAUGCUAUUCGGUGACACACCUAACGGAUUAAGCAUUCCGCCUGGGGAGUACGGUCGCAAGAUUAAAACUCAAAUG